rnacentral:lncRNA from 1 species
UUGGGCUUUGUGGAGCCUAGUUUUGUUUGAUCCGGUUUGACGACCCGACCCGAAUAAUAUUGCAUGACCUUUUUAAUGGGAGAUUUAUUGAGGCCUGUUGGGCCCGUUUAGCCCAUUGUGGAACCAUCUUUUGCAAUUAGGGUUUUUUAGUAUGGUAGGGUUGCCGUGCUAUAUAUAUAUAGAGAAUAUUGUAGCCGCCAAGUUGUACUCUGUAUUCUUCCCUGAUAAUAGUGAUAUCCCUGCAACUCCGUGGACGUAGGCAAAUUGCCGAACCACGUAAAUACUGUCUUGUGCGUGUGAUUGUUUUUCUUUGGCGUGUGUUUUUCCUCUAAUUUUUUGUUUCUCACGGGUUGGGAAUUCGGUUUAAUUCCCUACAACUGGUAUCAGAGCCUAGGGUUAGGUUUGAGUGGGAGCAAUGGCAGAGGAAGCAGGAAAGGCGUCUGGAAUAGAAAAGUUUGAUGGCACAGACUUUGCGUAUUGGAGGAUGCAGAUUGAAGAUUAUCUCUAUGGGAGAAAAUUACAUCUGCCUCUUUUGGGGACAAAACCUGAGAGUAUGAAGGCUGAGGAAUGGGCGCUUCUUGACAGACAGGUUCUAGGAGUUAUUAGGUUAACUCUGUCUAGGUCUGUUGCACACAAUGUUGUAAAGGAGAAGACCACAACAGAUCUGAUGAAGGCUUUGUCCGGUAUGUAUGAAAAGCCGUCCGCAAACAAUAAGGUGCAUCUGAUGAAGAAAUUGUUUAAUUUGAAGAUGGCAGAGAAUGCAUCAGUAGCACAACAUCUGAAUGAAUUUAAUACAAUCACAAAUCAAUUGUCGUCUGUAGAAAUUGAUUUUGAUGAUGAGAUUCAUGCUCUGAUCGUCUUGGCUUCUUUGCCAAAUAGUUGGGAGGCAAUGAGGAUGGCAGUAAGCAAUUCUACGGGAAAGGAAAAACUCAAGUACAAUGAUAUACGAGAUUUAAUUCUGGCUGAGGAGAUUCGCCGAAGAGAUGCAGGUGAAACCUCAGGAUCUGGUUCUGCCCUAAACCUUGAGACAAGAGGUAGAGGUAAUAACAGAAAUUCAAAUCAAGGUAGAUCAAAUUCCAGAAAUUCUAAUCGGAACAGAAGCAAAUCUAGAUCAGGCCAACAAGUACAAUGCUGGAAUUGUGGGAAAACAGGUCACUUUAAAAGGCAAUGCAAAAGCCCUAAGAAGAAGAAUGAAGAUGAUUCUGCUAAUGCUGUAACAGAAGAGGUACAGGAUGCAUUACUUCUUGCAGUAGACAGUCCACUUGAUGAUUGGGUUUUGGAUUCAGGAGCUUCGUUUCAUACCACUCCACACCGAGAAAUCAUACAGAAUUAUGUUGCAGGUGAUUUUGGUAAGGUAUAUUUGGCUGAUGGUUCAGCCUUGGAUGUUGUGGGUCUGGGAGAUGUCCGGAUAUCGUUGCCCAAUGGGUCUGUUUGGUUACUGGAGAAGGUUCGACAUAUUCCUGACCUGAGGAGGAAUCUGAUUUCUGUUGGACAACUUGAUGAUGAAGGACAUGCAAUACUAUUUGUUGGUGGUACUUGGAAGGUUACAAAGGGAGCUAGGGUAUUGGCUCGUGGAAAGAAGACUGGCACUCUGUAUAUGACCUCAUGUCCAAGAGACACAAUUGCAGUUGCUGAUGCAAGUACUGAUACAAGCCUAUGGCACCGCAGACUUGGUCACAUGAGUGAGAAAGGGAUGAAGAUGUUGCUAUCAAAAGGAAAACUACCAGAAUUGAAGUCCAUUGAUUUUGACAUGUGUGAAAGUUGCAUCUUAGGAAAGCAAAAAAAGGUGAGCUUCUUGAAAAUUGGCAGGACACCGAAGGCUGAAAAAUUGGAACUAGUACACACUGAUUUGUGGGGGCCUUCUCCGGUUGCAUCCCUAGGAGGUUCAAGGUACUACAUCACCUUUAUUGAUGACUCAAGUAGAAAGGUAUGGGUUUAUUUUCUGAAAAAUAAAUCUGAUGUAUUUGUAACUUUUAAGAAGUGGAAGGCCAUGGUUGAGACAGAAAUAGGUUUGAAAGUAAAAUGUUUGAGGUCAGAUAAUGGAGGAGAGUACAUAGAUGGAGGAUUCAGUGAGUAUUGUGCUGCACAGGGAAUUAGGAUGGAGAAGACCAUUCCUGGGACACCACAGCAGAAUGGUGUGGCUGAGCGCAUGAACAGAACUCUCAAUGAGCGUGCUAGAAGUAUGAGGUUGCAUGCUGGACUACCAAAAACUUUUUGGGCUGAUGCUGUUAGCACUGUUGCUUACCUGAUAAACCGAGGACCAUCAGUUCCCAUGGAGUUCAGACUUCCUGAGGAGGUUUGGAGCGGUAAAGAGGUGAAGUUUUCACAUUUAAAAGUUUUUGGUUGUGUUUCUUAUGUUCAUAUUGAUUCUGAUGCUCGUAGUAAACUUGAUGCAAAGUCAAAAAUAUGUUUUUUCAUUGGCUAUGGUGAUGAGAAAUUUGGCUAUAGGUUUUGGGAUGAACAAAACAGGAAAAUCAUCAGAAGUAGAAAUGUGAUAUUUAAUGAACAGGUUAUGUACAAGGAUAGGUCAACUGUAACGUCAGAUGUUACAGAGAUAGAUCAAAAGAAAUCUAAGUUUGUCAACUUAGAUGAAUUGACUGAAAGUACUGUCCAAAAAGGGGGUGAAGAAGAUAAGGAGAAUGUAAAUUCACAGGUAGAUCUGAGUACACCUGUAGUUGAAGUUCGCAGAUCUUCUAGAAACACUAGACCUCCGCAACGUUAUUCACCUGUUUUAAAUUAUCUCCUGUUGACUGAUGGUGGUGAGCCAGAGUGUUAUGAUGAAGCCUUGCAAGAUGAGAAUUCAAGCAAGUGGGAGUUAGCCAUGAAGGAUGAGAUGGAUUCCCUAUUGGGGAAUCAGACAUGGGAACUGACUGAAUUGCCAGUAGGAAAGAAGGCUUUGCACAACAAGUGGGUAUACAGAAUAAAGAAUGAGCAUGAUGGUAGCAAACGUUACAAGGCCAGAUUAGUUGUUAAAGGGUUCCAGCAGAAGGAGGGCAUUGACUACACAGAGAUAUUUUCUCCAGUUGUGAAGAUGUCAACAAUUAGACUUGUACUUGGAAUGGUGGCCGCAGAAAACUUACAUCUUGAGCAGUUAGAUGUGAAGACAGCAUUCCUUCAUGGUGACUUGGAGGAAGACCUUUACAUGAUUCAGCCAGAAGGGUUCAUUGUUCAGGGACAAGAGAAUCUAGUCUGCAAACUGAGAAAGAACUUGUAUGGCCUUAAACAAGCUCCUAGACAGUGGUACAAGAAGUUUGACAAUUUUAUGCAUAGAAUUGGGUUCAAGAGAUGUGAAGCUGAUCAUUGUUGUUAUGUUAAGUCCUUUGACAACUCUUACAUCAUAUUACUGUUGUAUGUGGAUGAUAUGCUUAUUGUAGGGUCUGACAUUGAGAAGAUUAAUAAUCUGAAGAAGCAAUUGUCCAAACAGUUUGCAAUGAAGGAUUUGGGAGCUGCAAAGAAAAUCCUUGGUAUGAGAAUCAUUAGAGAUAAGGCUAAUGGUACAUUGAAGCUUUCACAGUCAGAGUAUGUGAAGAAAGUUCUCAGCAGGUUCAACAUGAAUGAAGCUAAACCAGUGAGCACACCCUUGGGUAGUCAUUUCAAACUAAGCAAAGAACAGUCACCAAAGACAGAAGAAGAAAGGGACCAUAUGAGCAAGGUGCCCUAUGCCUCAGCUAUUGGCAGCUUGAUGUAUGCUAUGGUGUGUACAAGACCAGACAUUGCACAUGCAGUGGGAGUUGUGAGCAGAUUCAUGAGUAGGCCUAGAAAGCAGCAUUGGGAGGCAGUCAAGUGGAUUUUAAGAUAUCUGAAGGGUUCAUUAGAUACAUGUCUUUGCUUCACAGGUGCAAGUUUGAAACUGCAGGGUUAUGUAGAUGCUGAUUUUGCUGGUGAUAUUGAUAGUAGAAAGAGUACUACUGGGUUUGUUUUUACUCUAGGUGGUACAGCUAUAUCAUGGACUUCAAAUCUACAGAAGAUUGUUACUUUAUCUACUACAGAAGCUGAGUAUGUUGCAGCAACUGAAGCUGGAAAGGAGAUGAUUUGGCUACAUGGUUUCUUAGAUGAAUUGGGUAAGAAGCAGGAGAUGGGCAUUCUACACAGUGACAGUCAGAGUGCAAUUUUUCUUGCCAAAAUUCGGCUUUUCAUUCAAAGUCGAAACAUAUACAAACAAAAUACCACUUUAUUCGUUAUCUUGUUGAGGAUAAACUGGUAAUACUUGAGAAGAUUUGUGGAUCUAAGAACCCUGCAGACAUGUUGACUAAGGGUGUCACUAUUGAGAAGUUGAAGCUGUGCGCAGCUUCAAUUGGUCUUCUAGCUUGAGGACAGGAGGAUGAGUUGUAGGGAUGAGGGAUCGUUUCUUGGAGGAUAGCGGUUUGAUGUUGGUGAUUGGACUAGUCUCCAAGUGGGAGAUUUGUUGGGCUUUGUGGAGCCUAGUUUUGUUUGAUCCGGUUUGACGACCCGACCCGAAUAAUAUUGCAUGACCUUUUUAAUGGGAGAUUUAUUGAGGCCUGUUGGGCCCGUUUAGCCCAUUGUGGAACCAUCUUUUGCAAUUAGGGUUUUUUAGUAUGGUAGGGUUGCCGUGCUAUAUAUAUAUAGAGAAUAUUGUAGCCGCCAAGUUGUACUCUGUAUUCUUCCCUGAUAAUAGUGAUAUCCCUGCAACUCCGUGGACGUAGGCAAAUUGCCGAACCACGUAAAUACUGUCUUGUGCGUGUGAUUGUUUUUCUUUGGCG